GUCUACAGCCAUGCUACCCUGAACAAGCCUGAUCCUGUCUGAUCGGAAGCUAAGCAGGGUCAGGCUUGGUUAGUACUUUGAUGGGAGACCACCUAGGAAGACCAGGUGCUGUAGGCG
rnacentral:rRNA from 1 species